rnacentral:rRNA from 1 species
CCUACGGGUGGCUGCAAUUAGGAAUCUUGCGCAAUGGGCGAAAGCCUGACGCAGCGACGUCGCGUGAAGGAUGAAAUCUUUCGGGAUGUAAACUUCUUUUACCAAGGAAGAAUAAUGACGGUACUUGGUGAAUAAGCCCCGGCUAACUACGUGCCAGCAGCCGCGGUAAUACGUAGGGGGCGAGCGUUGUCCGAAGUUACUGGGCGUAAAGAGCGCGUAGGCGGGUUCUUAAGUGAGGGGUGAAAGUCCGAGGCUCAACCUCGGAACUGCCUUUCAUACUGGGGACCUUGAGUGCGGGAGAGGCGAGUGGAAUGGUCGGUGUAGCGGUGAAAUGCGUAGAUAUCGAUCGGAACACCCAUGGCGAAGGCAGCUCGCUGGCCUGUAACUGACGCUGAGGCGCGAAAGCGUGGGGAGCAAACA